rnacentral:rRNA from 1 species
UACGUAGGGUGCGAGCGUUUGUUCGGAAUUACUGGGCGUAAAGAGUGUGUAGGCGGUGCUCUAAGUUUGGUGUGAAAUCUCCCGGCUCAACCGGGAGGCUGCAUUGAAUACUGGAAUGCUAGAGGGUGGGAGAGGUAAGCGGAAUUCCUGGUGUAGCGGUGAAAUGCGUAGAUAUCAGGAGGAACACCUGUGGUGUAGACAGCUUACUGGGACCACUUCUGACGCUUGAGACACGAAAAGCGUGGGGUAGCAAACAGG